ACGUCCCUCUGUAACCAUGUCAUGUGUUUUCAUUAUACCUACCACUUGAACAAUUAAAAUUUCAGGGCUUUACUAACUACCACAGCCUUGAACACAGAAAUCUCUAAAUUAGAAAGGGUAUCUUUCAAGUGCAGUGCAAUAAAAUCCAGGUUUGGGGAGGCUGGGGUUUUGGGGGUUUUGAGUUGUUUUUCUGUUUGUUUGUUUUUACACCAUCUCUAAAAUAUCCCAUAGUCAGCUAUAACCGUCUAUACACCAGUGACUUGCCUCCUGCACACUCUCUGCAUCUUCUGCAGGCUGCACCUGUGUCUCGGUUUCGGCAACGUGUUGCUCAGAUUGCUUGCUGCUAUGGGACAAACCUGCAUUUCAGCACAAGAGAUUGAUUGCAGUAUCUCUCUCAUGCUUUGAAUAUGACUAAUGAGGAGGCUGCCCAAUUUUAAUGUCAGAUGGGAGCAAUAAUCAAUCUAAGAGCCAUCAGGACAACUCACAGUUCAGGAAGAGUGGGCUGGAAGAAAUCAUCAGCAAAACUGCUUGAUCAAGUCCUGAAAAAGAGGAUGAGAA